rnacentral:rRNA from 1 species
AUAUUGGACAAUGGGCGAAAGCCUGAUCCAGCCAUGCCGCGUGAGUGAUGAAGGCCCUAGGGUUGUAAAGCUCUUUUGUGCGGGAAGAUAAUGACGGUACCGCAAGAAUAAGCCCCGGCUAACUUCGUGCCAGCAGCCGCGGUAAUACGAAGGGGGCUAGCGUUGCUCGGAAUCACUGGGCGUAAAGGGUGCGUAGGCGGGUUUCUAAGUCAGAGGUGAAAGCCUGGAGCUCAACUCCAGAACUGCCUUUGAUACUUUUAGUCUUGAGUUCGGGAGAGAGAGACGGAAUUCCAGGUGUAGUGGUGAAAUACGUAGAUAUCUGGAAGAACACCAGUUGCGAAGGCGGUCUCUUGGUCCGACACUGACGCUGAGGCGCGAAAGCGUGGGGAGCAAACA